AAAUUGAAGAGUUUGAUCAUGGCUCAGAUUGAACGCUGGCGGCAGGCCUAACACAUGCAAGUCGAGCGGAAACGACACUAACAAUCCUUCGGGUGCGUUAAUGGGCGUCGAGCGGCGGACGGGUGAGUAAUGCCUAGGAAAUUGCCUUGAUGUGGGGGAUAACCAUUGGAAACGAUGGCUAAUACCGCAUAAUGCCU
rnacentral:rRNA from 1 species